UGGAUAUUUUCAAAAGCUCAGCUGGGAGUUAAUCAACUCUUAUUGUUUUUCGACAGGAGCUGGAUGCUUAACUUGCAUCCAGUGAGUCAUCCCCUGGCUUGUCACCCACACACAAACAGCCCCACAGAGGGUGCACAGAACUUUUCAGACGCGCUGGAAAUGACCGGCCAUUAAAAGAGUGUGAGCUGAACUGCAUCGGGUCAGAGAGUGACUGCAGAUGUCAUCAUGCCUGAAGAGACACUCUGGGAGUGAAGCCCUUACCCAACCUCCUUUACAAAUGUCACUCUGGAGUGCCAGGGCCUUGGGAGGCAGAAAGCCCAGCCAAAACUUGCCUAUGUAUCUCUCUUCCUUGUCCAAUCACAGAAGGAAAGUGAGACUUGCCCAAGAAAAUCAGAAUUCUAGCAAGCUGAAAGAUGUUCUUUUUAAAGAUUUCAUCCACCAUUUCAAGUUUCUGUCAUGCUCAGGCUUUGUG